AGGAUUAUCAUGGUGACAAGCGCUACAUCGCAGCUCAAGGACCGAAAACAAAUACUUUAUCAGACUUUUGGAGAAUGAUUUGGCAGGAAAACGUUAAAGUAAUUGUCAUGCUCACCAAUAUCGUGGAAAAUGGAAAGACCAAAUGUAUUAAAUAUUGGCCAGACGCAGAUAAACCUUUAGAUAUAGGUCAAUGCAGAAUUGCCCUCUUGGAGGAAACUACCUAUGCAUUUUAUACUGUACGCAAAAUGUCGGUUAAGAAGAAAA